rnacentral:tRNA from 1 species
GCAAAAGAAAGCUAAAAGCAUUAUGGUUUCGGCCCAUAAAAUGAAUCCCAAGAUUCUCUUUUUUAAA